rnacentral:rRNA from 1 species
CGGCAUCCUGCCUCCGGGCGGGUUGGCGCCCGCCGGAGGAUAACCAAACUCUGAUUUAACGACGUUUCUUCUGAGUGGUACAAGCAAAUAAUCAAAACUUUUAACAACGGAUCUCUUGGUUCUGGCAUCGAUGAAGAACGCAGCGAAAUGCGAUAAGUAAUGUGAAUUGCAGAAUUCAGUGAAUCAUCGAAUCUUUGAACGCACAUUGCGCCCGCCAGCAUUCUGGCGGGCAUGCCUGUUCGAGCGUCAUUUCAACCCUCAAGCUCUGCUUGGUGUUGGGGCCCUACAGCUGAUGUAGGCCCUCAAAGGUAGUGGCAGGACCCUCUCGGAGCCUCCUUUGCGUAGUAACUUUACGUCUCGCACUGGGAUCCGGAGGGACUCUUGCCGUAAAACCCCCAAUUUCCAAAGGUU